rnacentral:rRNA from 1 species
GAUGAACGCUAGCUACAGGCUUAACACAUGCAAGUCGAGGGGCAGCGGGAUUGAAGCUUGCUUCAAUUGCCGGCGACCGGCGCACGGGUGAGUAACGCGUAUCCAACCUUCCGUACACUCAGGGAUAGCCUUUCGAAAGAAGGAUUAAUACCUGAUGGUAUGAUGAGAUCGCAUGGUAUCAUCAUUAAAGAUUUAUCGGUGUACGAUGGGGAUGCGUUCCAUUAGGUAGUAGGCGGGGUAACGGCCCACCUAGCCUACGAUGGAUAGGGGUUCUGAGAGGAAGGUCCCCCACAUUGGAACUGAGACACGGUCCAAACUCCUACGGGAGGCAGCAGUGAGGAAUAUUGGUCAAUGGGGGAAACCCUGAUGCAGCAACGCCGCGUGAAGGAUGAAGGUUUUCGGAUUGUAAACUUCUGUUCUUAGUGACGAUAAUGACGUAGCUAAGAAGAAAGCUCCGGCUAACUACGUG